AGAGUGAAGAGCAUCCAGAAGAUGGGCAGGAGAGCCACAUGAGGUGUGCAGCUCGUCCCAGCACUGCAGGUGGGGUAGGGGUGAAGCUCUAGGGGACUCCAACCAUGGCAGCCUCCUUGGCCCAGGAAACAUCUCCAUGUCCUUGCUGAGAGAAUGCAGUGACGGAUGAGGCUUAGACUACAGCCAUGGUGAGACCACCGCUGCAGUCCUCCAGAAACCGCUGGGUAGCCGCGGUGGUGAGCUUGAGGACCAGCACUGGGGACAAUGACCGCGGCCAAGCGCCUGCAGCCAGGAAAGUCACAACUCUUGUUUCCGACAGAAGCAAGGCAGUGCCUGCCUGCACCACUAAAACGUGGCUACCACAGGCAACACACAGCAAUACUUCAAGCCACACUAUUUAGCAGUGUAAGGCAGCAAAUGAUGACCAUGGGAUGGCUCACCAGAAGCUGGUGAACAAACAGGUGGAAAUGCAGUGAUGCGGCUCUGUGAGGUUGGGACCUUGGACUGGUAACUACGAGCUGGUUCCUGCCUGCUAGGACCCAAAGGGCUCUCUGCAGCAAAAAGCCAAGAGACAUCCAUGGUGAGGGCACAGGACACACUCCUCUGCCUUCAGCUCCAACAGAAAAUCAGACCUCCUCCUGUACUGCUCAUGCUGAGACUGACCAAGGGACCUCCUGCGCUACAAGAGUCUACAUCCUGCUAUGCCAGGCCACCCUGUAGUGCCUACAGCCUGGAUGCUGAGGAGCACCCAGGAUGAGGAAGCUCCUGGACAGGAGCUGGAAGCAGCACAGCCACAGAGGACAGCACUGGAGGCAGACCUGGGCAGGAUGAUGCACCACAUGGGUUCAAGGCUCCUCUCUUCCCUUCUCUUAGCAGCCUCAGCUAUUCAAAUUUGGACUUUGGAGAAGCACAACUCGGUCACCUUCUACUCACCUCCAUCUGCCUCCCCCAGCCCAUCCUUUCUGCCUGACCCUCCUACCACAGAGACACGUAACCCUGUCCUAGGCCCACCGGUCUGCUACCCCCUGCAACAACCAUGUCCAUGGAGAGGGUGUCCUGGUCCCUGCCGUGCCAGGCACACGCUGCAGAGCUGGGCCUGGGCUCCCACAGCAGUGUCCAGGUGCCAUGGGGGCCACCCAGGGGCAGAGGGACAGGCAGAGCAGGGCAGCAGCACCGUGCCCUGUCCUGGCACACAGCCUCCGGGGGGGGGGACGACACACGUGCCCAUCGCGUGACCUCCCCAGCCAGCUGGCUCCACUUGCUGCCACUGCAGAGGACAGCCCUGUCCACCUGGGGAGAGACCCCAGAUUCACAGCAGAGCUGCCGGCUUUGGGGAGGACUGCGGGCACAGAGGAGACACAGCUCUGUGUGUCUCUCGUAGAGGAUGAUCUACCAUGAGAGGCAGAGGCAGCACCAGCACUGUGCCUUGCAGUACACGUUUCCACGCUGAGCCCUGCCUGUGCUGUCUGGGGUCUAGAGAGGAAACACCAACAGCUUCAAGCAACAGGUUGAAUGCAAAGAGAUUUUCCAGCUCCAGACCCUGCUAGAAGCCUCUGUAUUUCGGUCAGGAUCAAUGACAGGGCUGCAUGCCAGCCACAGCACAGACCGUCCACAGCAAACCCCCUGGAAAAUCAAAGCUCAGCUCAGCCAGGCUCUCCCACCCAUGGGACACACAUGGAGCUGCGAAGAUUUAAAAUGGUAAAUCUCUACAGGCUGCAGCAGCAAAGGGGCUCCCAAAGCCCCAGCACACCCAGCAGCAGAGACUACAGGCAGAAAGCAAGCAGAAAAGCAAAGCGAAGGUCUCCGAAGGCAGGGAGGAGAAGUGCGUUGUAUACUCACAGCCACGUCUGGACCGGACCUGCCCUUUCGUGCUGCCAUAGUCCGGCACUUCAGCUGAAACCUGAGCCCAGCGUCCCCCCUCUCCCUCCUUGGUUAUCUACUCCCUAGCUUUGAGAGAGCCAACAGGAUAUUUAAUACCAAGCCGCCUCCGGAAAGCAGAUGACUGCUGCCAAGAGCAGGGAGCGGGUCAGAGCUGCAGGUACCACCUCGGGAGCAGCAGAGAAAGAGCAGCCCCACAGACGUGCCCAGGAGCCUGGCAUCUCACAGGAAGGAGCUAUUCCAGAGGAGAAAAUAUCCUGCCUCACUUGCUGUUGUGCACCUCCUGCACUUCUACACAGCCGCUAAACCCUACACCAUGGGUGCCCUGCCCCACAGACUAGCGGACAUUCAAGCUGUGAGGUGUCAGGAGGCUGCUUCCAGCAAUUCCCCAAGAGAGAAGCCUUGGAUCUGGACUUUGCAAAGCGCUCCAAGACCUUUUAAAGUAAAAAACAUAGCACAGCACAUCGGACUGUGAUUCUAUUCUGUUCUGUUCCAUUCUAUUCUAUUAUCAGGAAAAAGCUCCCCUCGUCUACUGACAAUCUAAGUUUUUUCCUUUCCCUCUCCUGGCCCUGGUUAGUGGCUUCCCCUGUUCCUAUUCAUAGGUGCUUUCCUGCUCUCACAGUCUCACCCCACAAAGCAUUACUGCCGCUCGAUGAAUCUCCCAGCUCUUCACCCCAACAUGAGUCUCCUGGACCUGACCAAGCCCGUGGACUUGACCAUUCCCAUUGUAGCCAUGGCCAAGGCAAUAAGCAUAGGGGAAGCUCUGCCAAACCAGAGGCUCAGCCUGGAUUUCAAGGGCUGUAGUCAGAAGCUGGGUAAUCCUGCUCUGUCUUCUGGCUGUGGUGGGAGUCCUGCUCUAAUCUCUUCUGGCAGUGCCUGGCUCUUGCUCCCACCCAGGGAGGAGCUGCUGCCAGCACCUUCUGCACAUCACUGAUAACGUAAGGGAGGGUCCCAGCAUUGCCUUCUGGGAAAGGUGGGCACAUUUGUCAGGACACCACUCUGUACAAGCUGCCAAACGCUGCAACUAGAUGAUUCCCAACUGCAAAUAAGUUUAGGGACUUGUGCUGAUCUCACAAUGUUUUCUGGGACGCAAAGACAGGCAAGAGAGGCAAAUUGCCACACUGUUCAAGACUGGAAAAAGGCACAUGUGCAUCCUGCUACACUGCCCUCUUUACGCUGUCUGCCCACUCGUCUCCUCUAUUUGCAAUUCUGCUGAGCAAUGAGGGACUGCAGCUCCUGUGCUGUUCAUAGAGCACCCGGCAUCAGGAGGGGCUGA